GCUACCACAAUUGGGGAACACAGUUCAAUUCCUUUUGGUGCUGUUAUGGGACAGGAAUUGAAUCGUUCUCCAAGUUGGGAGAUUCUAUAUAUUUCGAAGAGAAAGGGAAUUCUCCAGGGCUUUACAUUAUCCAGUAUAUACCUAGCUCUCUUGAUUGGAAAUCUGGACAGGUCUUGGUGAGUCAGAAAAUCGAGCCUGCUGUUUCAUGGGAUAAUCGCCUCAGAGUGACAAUUACAAUAUCUUCAAAUGGGCAUUCAAGUGGUGCAGUGUCUACGUUGAACUUGAGAAUACCGAGCUGGACACACUCAAGUGGUGCAAAGGCAACCUUAAAUGGAAAGGACUUGUCUCUACCAACACCAGGUAAUUUCCUGGCUAUAACCAAAACUUGGGGUCAAGGAGACAAAAUCACUCUCGAGCUACCCAUGAUUCUUCGAACUGAGGCCAUACAAGAUGACCGUCCUGAGUAUGCAUCUGUUCAGGCAGUUCUUUAUGGUCCAUACCUUCUUGCUGGUCAUUCAAGUGGUGAUUGGGACAUCGAAACAAAAUCAACCACUGCUCUUUCGGACUUGAUUACUCCCGUGCCAGCUGACUAUAAUUCUGAUUUGAUAUCUCUGAUGCAAGAAUCCGGUAACUCAACAUUCGUUCUGACAAACUCUAAUCAGUCCAUUCAAAUGGAGAAGUACCCUGAAGCUGGAACAGAUGCUGCAGUUAGCGGUACAUUCAGACUCAUUUCACUCGACAAAUCAUCUGUCAAGCCUUCACAACAUAAAGAUAUCAUAGGAAAACGAGUCAUGUUAGAGCUCUUUGAUCUCCCUGGAAUGUUCAUUUCUCAUCAAGGACAAGAACAAAGCCUCGGGAUUGCAGCCUCCUCAGACGAUGGUGGUUCCUUAUUCCGUUUGACAGCUGGAUUGGACGGGAAGGACAAUACAGUUUCUCUCGAGUCUGAAGCAGAGAAAGGGUGUUUCAUCUAUAGCAGUGUGGACUACAAAUCAAGUUCCACUGUCAAGCUUAGCUGCAAUUCGAAGUCCUCAGAUGCUGGAUUCAAACAAGCAUCAAGUUUUAAACUGGGAGAUGGCAU
rnacentral:misc_RNA from 1 species